ACCUGAUGAUGAGGGCAUUUACGGAGUAUGUCCCUAAAGCGUUCCCAAGUCUCAAAUAAAGUUCCCCAUCCAUCUAUGAGAAGCUCGUGAUAGCUCUCCGAAGCU